AUGAACGUUGGCGGUGCGCCUAAUACAUGCAAGUCGAACGGAGACAGUAGCAAUAUUGUUUUAGUGGCGAACGGGUGAGUAACGCGUUGGUGAUCUGCCUCGAAGUGUGGAAUAACGUUCCGAAAGGAGCACUAAUACCGCAUGGUCUUCCGGUUUUUAGAAAACUGGAAGUAAAGUAGUAAUUCGCUUCUAGAGGAGCCUGCGUCCCAUCAGCUAGUUGGUAAGGUAAUGGCUUACCAAGGCUAUGACGGGUAGGGGACCUGAGAGGGUGGCCCCCCACAAUGGAACUGAAACACGGUCCAGACACCUACGGGUGGCAGCAGUAGGGAAUAUUAGUAAUGGGCGAGAGCCUGAACGAGCGACACCGCGUGGGCGGAGAAGGCCUUUGGGUUGUAAAGCACUUUUAGAGAGGAUGAGGAAGGACGGUACUCUCUGAAUAAGUCUCGGCUAACUACGU
rnacentral:rRNA from 1 species